rnacentral:rRNA from 1 species
UACGGAAGGCAGCAGUGGGGAAUAUUGCACAAUGGGCGAAAGCCUGAUGCAGCUAUGCCGCGUGUAUGAAGAAGGCCUUAGGGUUGUAAAGUACUUUUCAUCGGGGAGGAAAAACAAAACUAAUAAUUUUAUUUCUUGACGUUACCCGAAAAAGAAGCACCGGCUAACUCCGUGCCAGCAGCCGCGGUAAUACGGAGGGUGCUAGCGUUAAUCAGAAUUACUGGGCGUAAAGAGCACGUAGGUGGUUUUUUAAGUCAGAUGUGAAAUCCCUGGGCUUAACCUAGGAACUGCAUUUUGAAACUGAAAUACUAGAGUAUCGUAGAGGGAGGUAGAAUUCUAGGUGUAGCGGUGAAAUGCGUAGAUAUCUGGAGGAAUACCUGUGGCGAAAGCGGCCUCCUAAACGAAUACUGACACUGAGGUGCGAAAGCGUGGGGAGCAAACAGGGAUUAGGAUACC